UACGAAGGGGGCUAGCGUUGCUCGGAAUCACUGGGCGUAAAGGGUGCGUAGGCGGGUCUUUAAGUCAGGGGUGAAAUCCUGGAGCUCAACUCCAGAACUGCCUUUGAUACUGAGGAUCUUGAGUUCGGGAGGGGUGAGUGGAACUGCGAGUGUAGAGGUGAAAUUCGUAGAUAUUCGGAAGAACACCAGUGGCGAAGGCGGCUCACUGGACCGGCAUUGACGCUGAGGUGCGAAAGCGUGGGGAGCAAACAGG
rnacentral:rRNA from 1 species